AAGUUGUUUGUUUCAUAUUUAACGUCAGUAGGCUUUCUAAAGUUUUAUUGUUUUUUGAGGCAGGGUGUUGCCUAGUUCAGGCUAGCGCUGGAUUUGGUGUGUGAGCCUCAGUUGGCCUCCAACUCUCAGUCAUCCUCUUCCCCCAGCCCGCUGAGUGCCGGGAGUAUAGGAGUGCACGCCAGCUUUUUAGGAUUUUAAAAGAGUGAGCAUGCUUUUGUAAAAGCAAAAAAGGAUCUGAAGUCUUCAAGGGAACCAUGCUUGGCAUAACAGGAUGACCUGGUACCCUCCAUACCGGGCAUACCGUUGGGAGGCUAAACCGCAAGGCUCGUGUAGACUCUGACAGAGGCUGACAGUCUGCGCUGGUCCAAUCCAAUUAGACCAUUGUGCUUCAGAGUGACUGUGCCUGCUUAGAAGUGGAAGCUCCGUCAGAGCCUGCGGUCGGACUUCAUUUAGCAUCACAGCCCUGGGAGCAAGAAGCUACCCGGCUGGUGCUUUCAAAGGUACUACAAAAAUUAUUGUCAAUCUGUUUGUACUGUGGAAAAGAUGAAAAGACACAAACACAAGAGCUGUGCAAAUGGGCCGCCGUGAAACAGAAAUUCAGUCCCUCGGCGGCCCCUCCUUUGUUCCGUUCUCCACUUCAAGUUCCUGUUCUGCUUGGGCUUUGGGAAUUGAGUUCCCCGUCAAGGAAGCAGGACCAAGACCCACGGAGAUCAUCUAGGAAUAAAGAAAACAGAAAUUAUGAGUGGAAGAUCCCAAGUCCACAUUUUUUGGGGUGCUCCGGUUUGUCCCCUGAAAAUGACAGGGUUCCAGGGAGCAGCUUCUUUAACGUCCACGGCUGACCGCUGGGAGAAGAUGCACCUGCUGUGUGAUGGGCGCGCUUUGGCUGUGCCGGAGGAAAGCCACCCGCCCGGGACUCUGAAGGAGCAUGGUGGCCCUAAGGGGGCGGGCGCUCCGGGUCCUGGGAGCUCUGUUCAGAGGAGGCCCGGCUUUCUGCAUUCUGCUUCUGAAACACAGCACGGAGAAGCCCAGAAGGGUCUCUCCUCAGGCCUGAGUGCUGUGCCCUGCUCUAGUGUGCAAAUCAGGGGACCAAAGGACGGAGCCCAGCGUUCCCCUAAUGAAAGGGAACAUCAACAGCUUCAGUGUGAAAGUAACAUCACAGGAGGACGGCCUGAAAAUGGGUCAGACACCCGGGAUCAAAAUGUUCAGGCGGAGUCCUGUCACUUAGGCCUCAGAUGUGCAGCUGGGCCGGAUGUGGCCUCUAGCGCUGGACACAGCAGUCCAGGACCUGCAGCUGUAGAGACAAAGUGUGUGCCGGCAGAAUUCCGGGAAGAGCAGAGCCCGCACCCGGAAUCGCUCUCCUCUGCUGCGCUGGAGGAGCCGGGGCCUGCGGGAGCUGGGAGGAGGGCCGGGAUCUCGGCGGACACUGAAUUUCUCAGCGUCAUGACCUGCAGCCAGCUCGCUUUCUUAGCUCAAAGGCAGGCGCAAAGGCAGAAGUGCAGAAAUGCAGGGUCUGUGAGCGUGGAGGCUGCACCAAGGGCAGGGCCUGCGGAGGGAGGGAUGGCCGAGGAUAGUCUGGUUCAGCCUAAUGGAGAGUUUGCAGAAGGAGAUGAAAGUGCACAAGCCCAAGCACAUUCCCUGGAACUUUUCAGUCCUGCCCGCUCUGAAACAGAGAGUAGCCACAUCCGUGGGGACCCUGGAAAAGGUCUGAAAGGAGGCGCAGGGUCUCAAGAACUGUUCGAUUGCGAAGAGGGGCUGGCGGCAAGUGAGAUACGGAUUGAGUUGUGUAGCUCAGGGAUUCUGUGCUCCCAGCCAGACGCCAUCCGCAGAACUCCUGCGGGGAGGAGCACGCCCUCCACCCCUAACUCAGGCCUCUCUGAGGCUCUCCCUGAAGUCACCCCCAUCUCUCAGAAAAUGAAACCGUGUUCCAAGGCAAGAGAUUCUGCCAGAGCAGAGUGCCAGAGGGUCAUGCCUGAAUUUAAGGGUAUUAAAAAACCGUCCUUAAUCAAACGUUGUGAUUCUAGAAGCCACAAGUAUAAUUGCCUAGUUAUGGUGCUGACUCCAUGCCACGUAAAAGAGGUAAACGUAAAAUCUGGACCAAAUGCUGGCUCCACAGUGCCCCUAGCAACAGUUACAGUCGUCGACCAAUCUGAAAUGAAGAAGCAGGUGGUGCUGUGGCGGACCACGGCGUUCUGGGCACUCACUGUGUUUCCCGGAGACAUCGUUUUCCUCACAGAUGUUACCGUCCGUGAGGAUCCGUGGGUUGGUGACACAGUGCUGCAAUCAACGUUUACCAGUCAGUUGUUAAAUCUUGGGAAUUACUCUUCUGUCCUGCCUGAAGAAUAUUCCAGUAUAGUUAGCACUGCUGUGCUUCGGGACCUGCUGGCGUACGUGUCUUCAAAGCAUUCCUAUCUCAGGGGCCUUCCGCAGAGGUGGCCUCGCAGGGGGAGCAGGACCGAGUUCGCAGAGCUGGCGCGGCUGCAGCCUGAUACCUUAGUGCACGCUGUGCUGAGAGUUGUGGAUGUCGCUGUACUGACAGAGGCGCUGUACACUUACAGAGGACAGAAGCAAAGGAAAGUUGUAUUAACGGUGGAACAGGCCCAAGGUCAGCAUUACGUGCUUGUGCUCUGGGGUCCUGGAGCAGCGUGGUGCCCUCAGCUUCAAAGGAAGACCGGUUCUAUUUGGGAAUUUAAAUAUCUUUAUGUCCAGCGCAAUUGCUUACUGGAGAGCUUGGAACUGCACACCACGCCCUGGUCCUCCUGUGAGUGCCUGUUUGAUGAUGAUAUCAGAGCAGUUGCAUUUAAGUCAAAAUUCCAAGAACGUGCACCCUCCUUCACGAGAACGUCAGACCUAGCAACACACCUAACGGAGAAGUGCUCAGGAGUGGUUCUGAUUGAAGCCCGGAUCGUGGAGCUGGUGCUCCCCGUCGGGGCGGCUCAGGAGGUCCGCCUGAAUGCUCACAGCUCCCUGGAGCACAUCCUCUCCUGGCUCCCCAGCAUGACCUACGCUGGCUGUGCAGGCUGUGGGGCCGAGCUGCACACGGAUGAGAACAAGAUCUACAGGCAGUGUCUGCGCUGCCUGCCGCUUUCUGGGAAGAAAACCUACUACAGGCCAGCUUUCAUGACCGUGGUUGACAGAAGCCAUGUGGCUCGCAUCCAUGUAGGCUCCGCACUGAUGGAGAAGAUUCUCCUACACAUCGCCCCGGACUGGCUGGGCAGAGCCUGCCCACCUCCGAGGUCACCUACGGGAUGGUGGCCGCGGACCUGCUGCACUCCCUGCUGGCGGACGGUGCCGAGCCCUCCGUGCUGACACUGGAGAGUCGCUUUGUGCUGGAUGAGAACAGCUGCCCGCUGCAGCAGGACCUCUCCCUCCUGGACUUCCACCCACCUGGUGGGGCCCUGCCUGAGUCACGCCCCAAAGUGGUUGCUGACCGGCCCGGCUGCGCUCUGAAAUAACCGAGUUAUGCCUGUGUGGAAGUGUACUUGUGCACACAUACACACGUGCACACAUAUGCAAGUGCACACACAUACAGAUGCACACACAGACGCGAGGCCGGCAGUUAUACAGGAGUGGGCCUGAGAGACCGCGACCCUGCCAAGACAUGGAAACACAGAAGCUUUAUAACCUGCAUCUCUUGAGGGCCACAAAUCAAGUCCGACCAGAAACCACGCAGAACUGGCUCCCAUAGCACGAGACUGAAGUGAGAAACGACUUCCCGGAGCCCUGGGGUGGUGGCCCUGCUGCGCCUCAGUCCUGAAAGGUAGCCGUGAUGCCCCCAGCACGUGCCUGUCACCCGUUAGCUCCAGACAGCCGAGGGAGCUGCAGAAGGUGUCUGCGCAGAGCCGAGGUCCCUGCGCAACAGUGCUGAGCCUUCUGUGGCCAGCACGUAGAGGAGGAGCAGAGAGCCAAGGAGGCAGAGACUGAGUGGAUGGGAUCCUGUGGACUCCCUGCUGCGUCUCGGGAUGACCAGGUCUUCCCCAGGGCCUUUCCCUCAGUAAAGCAGGUUAACUUACAAGUGUCCCGUUGCCAGCAGCCCAUGGAGGAGACCUCCCUGAUGCCUGCCUACUUCCUAGGUCACCCUGCCCAAAUGUGACCAAAACAGGACACGGGCGGGCUUACUGUCCCAGGGCUCAAAGGACUCCUGGUCCCCAGAGUUUGUCCUUGCAGUGAGGAGGCGCCAGUCGUCCCUCAGCCCCAUCAUCACCAUCAGUGGGACAGAGUCUCGGGUGACCCUGGAUGUCGCAGGGCAUCAGGCACUGUCAGCAUGUGUGCAGACCACCAGGAUCCUCCAGGCUCUACACCAGGAAGCAACUUCGUGCUUUCUCAGGAGUAACAGACCACUGUUGGCUGUGGAACCCUGGGUGUGACUUGACGGCUGAGCCUGCGUGAGCCCCUAAAGAGAAAAUCAUCAAAUCCCCUUUCCUGGGAGCAGGAACAACAGCAGGCCUAUGAUGGGUUGAAGUCCCCUCCUCAAAGCCCCUUCAGUACAGGUGUGACGUCAGCAUCCUUAGCCGGGCCUUAGGGCCUGUUCAAAGGACUGUAGGACAUUUAUCAAGGCAGUGGACGCCAGUCACCCAGGGAUAGCCUGGAUGCAUCAGGCUGCUUCUGUUCAUUUAUAGCAGCUCAAGCCCAGGCCAGUGCACUCUGCACUAAACAUUUCCCACAGGUAUACAAGAAUGUGCAUUGCAGGCAUGGCCACCAGUGCCCCGAGUCUCAUGGCUGUUAUGGUUUGUGUCUGGAUGUCCCCCCAAAGCAUCAUGGAGCGUGGGCUUUUCCCGAGGUGAUAGAAUCUAGAAUUAGUGAUUGAUUCGUGCCCCAAUGCUGGGAUUAAGGAUAGGGCAGGUAGCUUGCAUAUGAUACAAGGACAGAAAGCAUCUUGUCCCUGGCUUGUUGCUUUUGCUGUCUUCUUCCUCCUGUGCUGCCGGCCACCUUGCCUGUGUAGCCAGCCAAUUAUGGGCUGAAACCUCUACAAUCUGUGAGUUAAAUCAACCUUUCCCCUUUUAACUUUGGGUGUUGGGUAUUUUGUCUCAGCAGCCAGAGAAAAGUAACUAAGACAAAGGCCUCUCCAGCAGGCUGGUACCUCCAGGGAGGGCUUGCAUGGUCAAUGAACUCUCCGUCUCUUCUCCAGCAGCUAGCAACGUCCUAGGAACUGUCAGUCAGAUCCACCAUUCCUGAGUUAAACCUGGAAGGAGGAGCCUGUCCAGGGACCCCACACUCCUGGGAAAGCCAGCCUCUCAGAGGAAAAUACAGACUUCAGUUAAAUACCAGAGGUGUUCUCCUAAUCUGAGCCUUUAUUGUAAUUACCCUCCUGCUCAACUGUGCUGCAGGGCACAGGGCUCACCUGCUGGCACCUCUCAGAUGCCCAGCUGCUUAGGGGAGCUCAGUUGCCAUGCCCCUGUUUAACUAUAUUCCAGGUGGGCUUUUGUCCCGCAUCUGCUUGGCGGGACUUUAAACGAGUCCGGGCUGUUCCAGAUCCCAACCCCAGCUUUGGGGAGAUGCCAUGGACUUGCUUUUCUGGCUCAGCCUGGUGCAAAGGGCUCAUAACCGCUGCAGGCUUGGCUCCAGUUUGAAUUGUUUGUAACGAACCUUCUCUUGGACUUCGCUCUUCCCGUUAAUAGUCGGUCCAUCUUUAGAUGGUCCUGCGCUCUUCUGACCUGACCAGCUGCACCGAUGCCUUGGCCAGCCAUGCGAGUCUGCAAGGGUAGGGACGCCCAGCCCCAGCCUGCAGCACUGUUGGAGAAGGAGCCACCAUGACGAAGCGCCCCAGUACCCUAAUGAUUUCAGGGUCUAAAGUGUUGGAGGAGAAUGGCAGGCAGGCAUGGAGACAUUAGCAGGCCUGAGGACCCCUGGGGAGUCCAAAAUAGCACACGGUUACGUUCAGUAAAGCAACAGAGAGCUCAGUGUAUGAUCCGUCAUCAUUUGUUAGGUCUCAGACCUCAAACAGUGCCACAGGGGUCGGUGACAUUUUAAGUCACACAGUGUGCACGGUCCCUCUGUCGUCUUUUCCUAGAGCAAGAUGCAGCAUUUCUGGGUGCCCUGGCCUACGUCCAAUGAUACAGGAAAGAGGUGCCUUUGUUAAAGACCCGCCCUUCUGGCACUGAGACCUGAUUCAGAGAGAACACUGGCCCUCUGAAAAGAACUCGGAAGUUGUUUCUGAGAUGGCGACUUUCCAAAGUUACCCCUGAGAGAAAUGUUGACAGGCAUAUACAUCGGGCAAUGAAACAGUCAUCAGAGUCACCCGGCCCCCAGGAACGAGUCUGUACAUAAAAAGCACCCACACGUCCACUUGGUGUACUGUUCACCUCACUGCUUGAAGGUACAACUUUAUGUCCGCUUUACAGUAAACUCCACCUGGACCUCCUCAUGGUCACCUGUGCUCUGGCCUGAGAUAUUUCACCAAAGGCACAAAGAGCCAAGGGCCAAGCGGCAGGGACUGGCUUCUUGUUGCAUUAGGGCUCUGUUUCCAAGGGACCAAAGCACACUUUUCUGUGCAGAGUCUGGAGCUUUCCCCCAGGAGCUCAGAAGGAUGCAACAGCGGAGAGCAGGUGAAUCCCUUUGAUGGAGUUUCUCCACGGGGAAGGGUAAGGGAUGCAGCAAAUGAUUUUUGGCUCCUAACUGCUCAGGUGGGGAGACACAGCUUCCUGGUUCCUGCCUGGGGAGAUGAAUUCAUACAGAACAACUGGCUCCUCGAGCUGGAUGCUGAUGGCUCCCAAGCCCCACUGUUCAGACUCGGGCGUGAGCCCCGCCCGCGGCACAAGCCUCCAGUGAGGGGUCCUCAGUGUGUCCUUCCCGUGUCUCAGGUGGCCAAAUCCCUUGGCCAGCCGGAACAUAAUGCCUCAAGACAGCCCUCGCCUUCGAAGCAGACAUCUUUGUUUCCAGUGCGACAACCCUGGGUCCCCUCCACAUUCUGUCACAUCCCUCAGGACAGGUUCCACAUUGGCCAGUAGGUUUCCAGGAACCCCACGUCAGGGAACCUGUUCCUCUUUGGAGGCCUCUGGUUUGUCCCCGGACUGAGGCGAGGGAGCCGAGGUCUGAUUCAUAUGUAGGGACUUAGUGCCCAGGGGCGGUGUGGCCUGGACAUCUGAUAGGUGACUGGGGGCCUGUGGAGCCCCCUGGGCGGGACUGGUGUCCUCAGGGAAGGGUCUGUGGUGCCCUCUCCCCUUCCAGCGUGAAGGCACCCUCGGUGAAGCCAGAACAAGCCUUCUCCAGACACCGCAGCCGCCUCCCUGGCUCUGGGGCUGCCCGGCCUGGGACUGUGCCUAAGACACUCCGAAGGUUUCCAACUUCCAGAGGCUGAAGGGCAUGGGCACGGUGACUUCCCGGUCACUCUCUGCCUGCGUCUCCAGCCUCCUCCCAGCUUCUUUUCUGUUUCCAUUGCUUCCUCCUCUCCACCCCCGACUCUCACCCUUUUUGGGGACAGGGUCUCACUAUAUAGUUCUGGCUAGUCUUGAACUCACAGCAAUCCUCCUGCCUCAGCCUCCCAAGUGCUGGGGUUACAGGCUUGCACCACCACACCUGGCUUCCCUCCCCUGCUUUUCUCCUCCUCUUUCUCCUCCCCUGACCUUUAUUCUCCCUCCCUCCUCCCCCUCCUCCCUCUGUGUCUCUUCCUCUAUCCCCUUCCCAAGUUCCCCACCUAUCCUCAUAGAGAACAUACAGAGGGAAUCUCCAAACUUUCUUUGCAGAAAGAGAGUUUGGGUUUGCUUGUGUCCACCUAGGAAGUUCCACAGAAGGACUGCCUGCAUCCACUCAGGCUACCUGCCGUCCCCUGGGUUCAGCAUGACUUUUAACAGUUGACCAUGGCUGUUCCAUGGUCUUCAUAGAAGAAAAUACUGAUUUCUCCAAACAGCUAGAAUGGCGCAGAGAACCCUUCACUAUGUCUUUGAUCUCUGAAGACACAUUUCUAUCCUGGUGGGUUUCCAAAUCACAAGAUCACAACGCUUGGGAGGACAGAAUAAAGGGCCUUGUCUUGCCUGGUAGUUUAAUGCUGGCCCUGUUUGAAUGGUGACAGGAAGAGAAACGUGAGGGGGGUGAGGUCUGACAGCCUUAGUGCUGGCUUGGAGGUCUUGAACCUGAGGAUGAAUUCUCCAGUGCGUUCGGCAGGGAGGCGCCUCACUCCUCUUGGCCAAGCCUGAUUUGGGGUACACGUGGUUCUCCUUAUGAGGUCAGGCUGCCACCUAGUGCCUUCCACCCCCUCGACCCCCUCCCGCCAUCACCACAGCCCCACAGCACCAGCCUGUUGGGAUCACUUUUACACUGAGUACAGGGAGUGUGUUGGCAGCAUCUCCGAACGUGACCUGGCCGGACAGCUCACACAUGUGUCCAGCGUGUGUCACACUGCGAUCAUUCUGUCUGGCAGAAUCUUGCUCAUAUGGUAUAGCUGUUACCCUACAUGGAGAAUUAGGGCCUGGGUUUUAUUUGGUUCUGAUUAACAUGGAUUCAUGGUGCAUGCUAAGGGGAUUUGUUGCAAUAUUUCAACUGAAAAAUUAAAUGUAUUUAGCACUAUCCAGCCUGGACCAGCCAAAUCCAGCCUCCCCGUGUGUUUUCAUCAUCAUUUUGUUUGGCUGUGCUGGAGAUUAAACCCUAGGCAAAUGCCCUAUCACUGAGCAAUAUCCCAAUAUUAAAAAUGUAUUUUUGAUUUUUUUAGACAACGUUUUGCUAUGCAAUUCAGGCUGGCCUCAAACUCCCCAUGUAGCCCAGGAUGGCCUUGAACUCACAGCAGUCCUCCUGCCUCAGCCUCCCGAGUGCUGGGAUUACAAGUGUGAGCCACCAUGCCCGGCUAGUGAUAGCACACUUGUCUGGCAUGUGCAAGGCCCUGGGUUCGAUACCCAGCACUUAAAAAAAUUACCUAUGAAAAGAUCAGUUUUGAUGAAAUAUGGAGCGAAACGGUUUCGAACACAGAACCUAAGGCCGCACAGCGCGGCUUUUGGGCGGCAGCCCCGCUCACCCUGAUGUCCCCCUCAGGACCUCCCGCCUUUCUGUCUGCUUGGAUUUCGUAGCAGACCCUGAUUACGCCAGACUCAAACAAUCCAUCAGAUUAUUUUGCCUGGAAUUAAACAGAAACCGAAUUUGAACAUAUACACAGUGACGCCGAGGCCGGAUAGCGGCAGCUUGCUGAGCUUUGACAGACACAGGGGUUUAUGAGACCAGCGGUCCAGCCCGCUCAAUGGCCCCAGCUAGUUCCGGGUGGGCAGAUCUGCCCAGUCCCUGCGGAUAGUGAUUAGGCGGUCUUUCCACUGAGCAUGUGCACAUCUCUAGGUACGAGUCUGAUGCAUGGCGCACGUGAGUAGGUGUGCCAUGCACCAGAAGAAAUCUCGCCAUUGAAGGCAGGGAGUAGGGUCCUGGGAAACACGGCGGGCAGCCUCACAGCUCCGUCCAUCCCCGGCCACCAGGCCGGCCAGGUGUCCGCAGGAGCCACCAGGGCCUUGUUUCCUCGGCGAGGCCGACGCUGGACGGUAGAGGGCGCUGCGCUCCUUCCCGCGCCCUUCCCGGGGCUACCUGGCGGCCCGCUCCUCCCCCGCACCCUCCUGCUGGGGACUCCGGGCGCCCCCACUCCUGCUGUGCCGCCCCCGCAGUGUGGCAAUCAGCAAACAGAUGCGAGUAGAUCGGCACCUUGAGACCACUAUGGUAAGUGAAAGAAACUCAAAAGUCUAGUACAUGAGAAACCCAAAGUAUAAAUCGUUUAAAAACAUAGCAUAAGCAAUAAGAAAUGGAGACAGAUCUUUUGCAGGGAGAGAAAGAGAGUUAAGGCCUAAAGUGCCCACUUCAGAAUGUAAACACUGCUGCAAACAGGUACUGGUAAUUUUUUAGUCUUUUUUUUUUUUUUUUUUUUUUACCAGUAUCAGCUAUUGAACUCACGACCUGUGCUUGCAAGGCAGGUGCUUAUGCCGCUGAGCUAAAUCCCCAGCCCGAUAAUUUUUUUAAACGGUAGAGACAGAUUGCCCCUCCCUCUGUGGAGAACAAGCGAUUUGCAGGAAAGAGGUGGGGAAGGGCCAGAGCGGAGGGAACAGACUGCAGUUGGAGGGCACCUGGGGCCCUUGGAGACCCCACCUGACAGGCUGUGUCCGCAGGUCUUCACCGUGAGGGCAUAUGUGGACAUCAGGAGUGUGAUUCCAAUCCCAGCUGCCCCUGCCAGCAUCUUGGAGACCAGCCUGAACUACACAGGGAGCCCCUGCCUGGAGAAACCAAACCUGCUCUCUGUGCAUAAAAUCUAGGGCAAGUUCUGGGGCUUUUCUUGGUUCUGAAGUGGGUUCGUGAACAAUAUAGGAAUCCAAGCAGCCAAGCUGAUGAAUUUGGAAUUUUAUUAGCUGAGCUCAGGACCACUUGCAUAGAGACCCCUGUUUCAGAGUCCCACUGAGUGGCCCUGAACUGGAAAGUUACAGAGCAUUUAAAACAGAAAACCACAGAAAGACAUCCUGUUGGAAACAAUUUAGCUGGGAACCUACAUUAAUUUUGGCUGACACCUGUAUCCUGCUGCUUUGUUGAGCAGAUUAAUUUUUCUCUUGUGGGUGCUGCUCAUUCUGAUUUUCUCAUGGGACUUGUACCCUGAGUAAUUUCUCUUUUGGGUCAAAUGCAGGACACAAGAUGGCAUCAGUUAUGCCAAGCUACAACAAUCCGUAACUGCUUUGAUCACUGUUAGAUAACAAAAGGUUUCUCCUGUGACUCGUUCAAAACAGGCUCUGUUCAGCCCUCACAGUUGUCAGUCAUAAGCAGUCACCUGUGUGUCUGCUUCAGUCCGUGUGGCCUACUCCUCUCCCCAGCUGGCCUGGCCACAGCCCUGACGGAAGGAUGCCAGGCCCUGCUUCCAUUCCCCGGGUUGGAGGAUAAAGGGAGUGGUGGGGGCUCUAGGUGAACCUGGUGUGAACCUUCCGCCUCCUGUACUGUGGCUGUCUUCUAUACUGCACUGGCCCGGUGACCUUGGUUUGUCCCUGCCAUGUGUGUCCGGGUACACAGCACCAUCCCGCCCCCUGAGAAGAGUUUUAUUACCUUUUGUUUAUCUCCCUUUUGUGAUGGGAAUGGGGUGGAACCCCGAGGCCCUGCAUACCAGGCGCUGCUGAGUGCCACAUCUGUGGUCUCCCCAGACUCAUGAGCAGAGACCCCGUGCUCGGGUGAGGCCAGAGAUCAGCCAGAUGGUGCAACUGUCAUUUCUUCCUUUACCUCUGAUAAUUACGGCUGCCAGGUUGCUCCGGUUUUUUACAGUGAUUGGGAUGAGGAAUUCUACAAUGAAAAUAAGGGAAAAAAUAUACCUGGCCCAUGGCCGCAUCAAUGGCAGCCUGGCAUCGUUACAGGAUUGGCAGCAGGGCCGACUGCGCCUGCACAGCGGGGGUAGGGGAUUCCCUUGGUGACACCCAGGCACAGCCUGGCCUCGUGUUCCUGUCCUCGGGGAACAUCAGGAUGGUGGGUGGAAUUCCACCGCUCCAGUUCCGCACCCCUGCCUGCAGCCGAGUCCAUAUGACGCGGCCUGCCAGCUCCUCUCACAAAAAGACGCAGUUCACUUCUUCGCCUUUGCUUGCAGGUUGGCUCUGUGACUUCCUCUGGCUAAUGAACAUCGGGCGCCAUGACACAAGCAGAGCCAGACAUGCGUUUGCUUGUCGAGGUUCACCUGCUUGUGCUCCUGCCUUUGCCAUGAACAGAGCUCUCCCUGGGCGGCUGCUGUGCUCAGAAUGAACAGGCAAGGAGCAGGCUGUUAGGAGCCCAGCCUGACUCAGCUUGGGAUCCGGUUACCUGCCUUAGCUCAACCAAGCCAGCCGUGGGUGCAGGAGGCAUGAAUGUGCUGCUGUGUGUGGAGCGUUUGUGAUGGUUUGUUAUGCACCAUCGCUAUCCAAAUAGCUGACUGACACAGCACCUUUUACCCCUUUGGCUUCGCCAACCUUCCCAAGAACAGUGUGGCUGAUUCCUUGUACAAACUGCCCUCCACUGAGAAUUAUUUGGGUGGGGAAAGAAUUCUUUUCCUGCGGAGAUCGAAUAAGCUACAGACAGCCUUUCCUUCAAGUCAUCCGGGAGCUGCCCAGUUGAAAGCCCUGGAAGGGCCACGGCCUCAGAAGAAGGAGAGCCAGGCAGGGAGGAGACUUUCUGCAGGAAAGUCGCUAGUUCCCUCCAGGAACCUCUCUAGUUCUGGCUAAGAGCCUAGCACUUCUGCUAGACAGCAGAGGCAGCAGUGUCUCCCGACCUGGGGAGAUCAGAACCUGGAGACUGAGGUUGCCCUGGAGGGGCCUUGAAACAGCAAAGAUGUCAGAGAAGAGGGGGACAGGGGUUCCCCUGAGAAGUAUUUGCAGGAUUACUAAAAUAAUCCAGAGUUUGGGGCCCACAGCGGGAGAGAAGGCUGGUGAAUACACUGGGCUCCCAGCUGGGAUCCUUGCAGGGCUGAACUCCAGGAGCAGGGGCAAGCCAGAGGCAGAGAGCGCCCAGACUCUGGUGAGUUCAGUGCAGACUGCACUCAGAGGACCUCUGCACUCCAUCCGCAAGAGGACGUGGUGAGCCGUCCCAUAGGAAGACACUCUGCUGACGUCCUCGAUGGAGGCCCCAAGAUGGGUCAUGCUCAUGAGCACUGGACCAUGAAUGCUCAAGCAAGCCAGGAAAGACAGAAUGAAAACGCACACACAAUAAUGACCCAGAUGGUGAUGUUAUCAGACACAGACCUGGUGGGAAAAAACACAAUGCUUUUGUUAGAGAGCUGGGAGUCAUCAGAAAGAGUCACAUGGAAAGUUAGAACCCGCAGACGUAGUGACUGAAGUUAAGAAUUCAGUGCGUGAGUUAAGUACACUUAGCACAAGAAGGAUUUAUUGAGCUGUUAACCUGGGACGUGAAACAACUCCAGGCUACAGCACAGAGACAGCGUGUGGAAAAUACAGAAAGAACCCAAGAGACUUGGGGACAGUGAGCAGCUCGGAGGUACAGGAACUGGAGUCUGAGAAGAGGACGGAAGGGUAAGGAACAGUUAAACAGCGCCGAGGCGGACACAGCGAAGAUCAGGCUGUGUGUGCUGUCCAACACUGAUGAAGCUCCAUGUCCCCCACGCAGGAUAAAUAGGAAGUAAAGUCCAUCCAGGGCCCUCCAUACUCAGACUGAUGGACACCAAGGGUGAAAUGAAGCCCUUGAGGGCAGUUACAGGUGAGCAGGAGACACAGGUUCUCCUAGCACUGACCACAGCACUGACCAUGGCCUGCUAACAGAAGACAGAAGAUACCGGAUGCCACUUUGUUUUUUUGGGCUCACUGAGACAAGGUUCCGCUGUGCAGUUCAGGCCGGCCUUGAGCUCACUGUGUAGCCCAGGCUGGUCUCGAACUCGCAACGAUCCUCCUGCCUCAGCCUCCCGAGUGCUGGGAUUACAGGCAUGAACCACCAUGCCCAGCCUCCGGAUGCCACUUUUAAACGGCUGAAAAGAUGACCCAAAA